GCUUAUCCCCCUUCCCAAAUGAAUAUACCCCAUCUCCUCUGAUCUCCGAAAUCAAACAAUCUCCGGCUUGGUUAAUACUUGGAUGGGGGACCCCUUGGGAAUACCCAGUGGGAUAAACA
rnacentral:rRNA from 1 species